GAUCAUUAAAAAGAAUUAUACACUUUGCAUUUGCGAACAAAAAAAUAAAUUUUUUUAUUCGAAUCAUUUAAAUCAAAACUUUCAACAACGGAUCUCUUGGUUCUCGCAUCGAUGAAGAACGCAGCGAAUUGCGAUACGUAGUAUGACUUGCAGACGUGAAUCAUCGAAUCUUUGAACGCACAUUGCGCCUCGAGGCAUUCCUCGAGGCAUGCCUGUUUGAGCGUCGCAUCCCCUCUAACCCCCGGUUAGGCGUUGCUCCGAAAUAUCAACCGCGCUGUCAAACACGUUUACAGCACGACA
rnacentral:misc_RNA from 1 species